rnacentral:tRNA from 1 species
GCCCCAGUGGCCUAAUGGAUAAGGCAUCGGCCUUCUAAGCCGGGGAUUGUGGGUUCGAGUCCCAUCUUGUGGUA